UACAGAGGUCCCAAGCGUUGUUCGGAUUCAUUGGGCGUAAAGGGUGCGUAGGCGGCGCGGUAAGUCGGGUGUGAAAUCUCGGAGCUUAACUCCGAAACUGCAUUCGAUACUGCCGUGCUUGAGGACUGGAGAGGAGACUGGAAUUUACGGUGUAGCGGUGAAAUGCGUAGAUAUCGUAAGGAAGACCAGUGGCGAAGGCGGGUCCCUGGACAGUUCCUGACGCUGAGGCACGAAGGUCAGGGGAGCAAACGGG
rnacentral:rRNA from 1 species